rnacentral:lncRNA from 1 species
CUUUAGGACAAAUUUUACAGAACUGUAAGGUUGAUUAUCAGAGCUAUGCAGAUGACACACAACUAUAUCUAUCACUGAACCCAGAUGACCAUGGUCCCAUUGAGGUGUUGUGUGACUGUUUAGAAAAAAUAAACUGCUGGAUGAGUGAAAACUUCCUUCAACUAAACCAUGACAAGACGGAGGUGAUUGUCUUUGGUAACAAGGAAAAGAGGACUGCUGUCAGCAAUUAUCUUGAGUCUCGAUCUUUAAAAGCUAAAGACCAAGUCAAAAACCUUGGUGUUCUGAUUGACUCAGAUCUUACAUUCAGCAGUCAGAUCAAAUCUAUCACAAAAACAGCCUUCUACCACCUAAAGAACAUCUCCAGAGUGAAAGGUUUAAUGGCUCAGAAAGAUCAGGAGAAACUGGUCCAUGCUUUUAUCUCCAGCAGACUGGACUAUUGUAAUGGUCUUCUGACAGGAAUCCCCCAAAAGAGCAUCAAACAGCUACAGCUGGUUCAGAACGCUGCAGCUCAGGUCUUAACCAGAACAAAGAGGUCAGAGCACAUUACUCCAGUUUUAAAGUCUUUACACUGGCUCCCAGUCAGCCUCAGAAUAGACUUUAAAGUUCUGCUGCUGGUGUAUAAAUCUGUGAAUGGGUUUGGUCCAGAAUACAUCAGUGACAUGAUAGUCAGGUAUGAACCCAGCAGGUCUCUCAGAUCUAUGGACACAGAUCAGAUAGUGGAGCCCAGAGUUCACAGUAAACAUGGUGAUGCUGCUUUUAGUUGUUAUGCUGCAAAGAAGUGGAACAAACUGCCAGCGGAGCUGAAGUCAGCAUCCAAUGUGAACAUUUUUAAAUCAAAGUUAAAGGCACUUUUUUUCUCUACUGCAUAUGAUUGAGAGAGAGAUUUUUUGUCAUGUUGUUGAUGUAAUGAUGAUUUUACUGAUGAUUUUAAUUGAUUUUACUGAUGAUUUUAAAUGUUCUUAUUGAUUUUACUGAUGAUUUUAAAUGUUCUUAUUGAUUUUAAACAAUUGAAUGUUUUAUCAUGUAAAGCACAUUGAGUUGCCUUGAGUAUGAAAUGCGCUAUAUAAAUAAAUUUGCCUUGCCUUGCCUUGCCUAUGUUAAUUUA